GUCAAGCAUUCGCAGGCUGUAGAUCAAAAUCUACUAGAAUUCGAUAGAGGAUAGAACUAUUCCGAGUGCAGAGGUUAAGUUCGUUAAUAUUAGGGGGAGUACCACUAGCGAAGGCAUCUAUCCAUAAUAGAAUUGACGCUAAGGAAAGAGAGAAUAGGGAGCGAAUAACAUUAGAUACGCUAGCAGUCUAUACCGUAAACGAUGUCCGCUAAGGUUUGGAUUCAUCGUAUUCAGAGCCUUAGCUGGAAUGCGCUGAUU
rnacentral:ncRNA from 1 species